GCUUGCAUUUUCUCGGGACUUCCUGAGUGGUGAAGGUGACCUUUCCCGACAUCUAAGUUUUUUAGGACUACCUGUCAGUCAUGUUCAAACUCCACUUGAUGAAUUUGAUUUUGCUGUAAUAAAUCUGGCUGUGGACUUACAAUGUGGCAUCCGUCUUGUGAGAACAAUGGAACUUCUUACCAAAAACUGGAAUCUUUCAAAACAACUGAGAGUUCCUGCAAUAAGUCGUCUACAGAAGAUGCAUAAUGUUGACAUUGUUCUUAAUGUCCUUAAAGAGCGAGGAAUUCACUUGAAAGAUGAAAGUGGUGCUUCAAUUGACUCCAGGGAUAUUGUAGAUAGACACAGAGAACGAACAUUAGCACUCCUGUGGAAAAUUGUCUUUGCCUUCCAG